GAUGGAAGGGGUUUAACCCACACAGGCAGAGCGCCACGUUCAUAUGACUAAAUUCCAAACACACACGCGGACACAUACAUACCGGUGGGUUCACAGGGCGUCGACACGCUCACAUACAUUUCUGUGUAUCAUCGCACGCUGACACACUCUUGUAAUGGCACACACAUUUGUUCUUAAGCACAUGGAGAAGUCUCGUGUUUGUCUCUCCCUCAACCCAGGAAUUUAAUAUGUUUCUCAGGACCCGAACAAAGGGAGAGGACUCCAGGUCCAGACUGCUAUCACUUUUCCCACCUCCUCCCCCGUGCCACAUUCUUAGCUUUUGUGUCCAAGACUUGGCACGUAGAUAUGUGUAUUAAUAGGGAAACUCUCAUCUCUCCACUGCCCUGCAGAGCCAGCUAGAUUUCACAAUGGGACAAAAGAGGUCACAUUGACCCUGGCCCUAUAUGGGUUUAUUUAUCAGGGCCAAUGUGGGCGUCUGCCCUUAUGCCACGGAGAUGCCAGAGCAAGCAUUGCUCAUAGGGCAGCAGAGAGGAUCUCUGAUAGACUAUAAUAGAAGCAAGAAGGAAUCCUAUGGGGGAAAAGUGUCACCACCAAACCUUACUCUGUGGCAUUGAUUCAAUUGCUCAGCUUCUCUAGGGUUAGGGUUGAAUUAUCCCAUUUGAACAGGAAAUAAAAUUCUUUUUUCCACUUCAUGUUUGUCCUGUCACCACCUACUUUCCUUUAUCUUCAAACUUGAAACUUAGCACAAUGAUUAAAUGAGAGGCUACAAAGGAAAGAUGUUGGGAAGAAAAGUGACAGAACAGCAACAAAAGAAUGUCCUGGUAUCGAUGGAAAUAUAGUCAGUUCUUAGCACUAAUAGGAAAAUAGGAGCACGUCUUUUUAAAAAUUAUUUUAAGUAGACUCCACACCCAACGUGAGGCUUGAAUUCACGACCCUGAGAUUAAGAGUUUUAUGCUCCACCAGCUGAGCCAGCUGGGUGCUCCCAAGGAACACAUAUUUUUUUUUUAAAGAUUUUAUUUAUUUAUUUGAGACAGAGAGAAUGAGAGAGAGAGAGCACAUGAGAGGGGGGAGGGUCAGAGGGAGAAGCAGGCUCCCCGCCGAGCAGGGAGCCCGAUGAGGGACUCGAUCCAGGGACUCCAGGAUCAUGACCUGAGCUGAAGGCAGUUGCCUAACCAACUGAGCCACCCAGGCGCCCCAAGUAGCACAUAUUUUUUAAAAUCAUGUUUGGUUUUGGAAAAUAGCUGGAGAGACAAAGUGGGCCAUUCACAAGUGUUUCCAGAUCCUCGCAUUUGGCCUCUUUGCUAUUAGGUCUCUCAUCUCUUUGGCUUUUUUCCACUUUCAGUGGCCAGGGAACAUGGUGAGAGUUGUUGAAUGUAUCAUACCAGAGGUCAGAGAUAAAGCAGAUCAUAUACAUUAUACAUAUUCAUAGUUUCCAAAAGUUUAGGUCCCUGCAAACUCUUAGUUCUCCCUUCUUGGAAAACUGCAGUGAACACACGUUGCCUCCAGAGCUUUGGGCAAACGCUCGAUGGCCUGCUGGAAUUGGCUGGCCAGGUUCCAGGUGUACAUGGACAGAUCUCUCUGGCUCCAGUAGACGGGUAUAGGGGAGGAGUUCUCUCAAGUUUUCUCGGGGCAAGAGUUUUCUCUCCGGGAGAGUAUGCAGGCUAAAACAGCUAGUAUGUGGGCUGGAGGAGGUAUGUCCAGGACCAAUGAAAACAACAAAGUCUAACCUUAGAUCUUGGGAGAGAGUAACACAGAGGCUCUAGAUAAUACCUGUUUUAUUUAUUUAUUUAUUUUAUUUUUAAAAAGAUUUUAUUUAUUUAUUUGACAGAGAGAGACACAGUGAGAGAGGGAACACAAGCAGGGGGGGUGGGAGAGGGAGAAGCAGGCUCCCCGCUGAGCAGGGAGCCUGACGUGCGGCUCGAUCCCAGGGCCCUGGGAUCAUGACUCGAGCCGAUGGCAGACGCUUAACAGUUAAGCCACCCAGGCGCCCCAAUACCUCAGUUUUAUUCGGGAGAUAAGGGAAUUUCCUGAGGAUGAAUUCUAUCUGUCCUAAGCUGUUGCACACAUACUUAAAACACACUGUCAUUCCCCACCUAGACAGGGUGGACUCGGUAUAUUCACUUGAAAGAAGUUUCUCCUAUUUCUGUAGGAACCCACCAAAACCCAUUUCAAUAUAUAAUAUGUGGGUAGAAAAACUCAUUUAACUUCUCUCCCCCUGUUAGCUUUCCUUACAAGUCAGUUAAGUGCCCUCAGAGGUGUGCUAGAGAACAAGAAAUGGGAGGGGAGGGCUCUGAGCAGGAGGCAAAAAUCCCAUAGGCAGGGUUAAGGUGGAAGCAGGAAGAAAGCUUUCUUUCCUCAAAGCUGGGGUUAGCAAACUUCCACUUGUAAGGUAAAUCCUGUCACAGCCUAGUUUUGUACAGUUUUAUUGGAACAACACCAUACGCAUUCACUUACAUAUCAUCUCUUGUCUUUCUCCCUACAUCGGAGUGGUCACCAUACCCUGUGGUCUGCAAAGCCAGAAAAAUGUACUGUCUGGCCUUUCACAGAAAAUGUUUUUUCUUUAAUGAUUUCUGCCUCAAAGGAUCAAAGAAGGAAAGUGAAGUGUUUAUAGGAAUUGGGAAAAGUGCUGAAUAAGGAGGAGACAACAAAGUUUAAAGUCGAGAGCAAGGGUCAGAGUCAUCAGCAACAUGAUAUAUGCAUUUUGAGGGGAAGGGCACUCUGUCCAAUACAAUGUCCAAGAAGUUCACAGCUCAGCUUCCACCUUUGAGAUGAACAAACAGAGCAUAUUACUUUGAUGCAAAGGGAAGAGAGGAGGAGGGAGAGUCGGUAAGUGCAUGUUUACACAGGGAAUUCUGGUUAUCUGAGAAGCUUUUCUGGAAAGCACAGGAUUUGCUGGAUUGCUUGAACAAAGGAAAGGCAAGAGUAUGGCAAGAAAGAGACACAGCGAGAGAAGGAACACAAGCAGGGGGAGUGGGAGAGGGAGAAGCAGGCUCUCCACUGAGCAGGGAUCCCGAUGCGGGGCUCGAUCCCAGGACCCUGGGAUCACGACCUGAGCCUAAGGCAGAUGCUUAAUGACUGAGCCACCCAGGCGCCCCGAGUAAGAAGUUUAUUAAGUGAAGAUACGGAAAAAGCUCUCAAGAGUGAGAGAGAUUUAUUUAUUUAUUUGCGAGAGAGCGAAUGAGAGACAGCGAGCACGAGAGGGAGGAGGGUCAGAGGGAGAAGCAGACUCCCCGCCGAGCAGGGAGCCCGAUGCGGGACUCGACCCGGGACUCCGGCAUCAUGACCUGAGCCGAAGGCAGUCGCCCAAACGACUGAGCCACCCAGGCGCCCUCAACAUCUCUACUGAUAACACGUUCAGUGGCUUAA